GUGUAUUACAAAAAUGUUCAUCAUAUCUUAAGAAAAUGUUCACUGUAUCUUUCCCUACUAAUAAAGCAGCUAAUGCUUCUGGUCGUCCGUCGUCGUGACAGUUUUACAAAAACGUCCCUAUGAUUUUAGAUAAUAGAACCCGCAGUCCAUAUGUAAGUGGAUCUAGCAAAACGAUUCGUUUUUGCAAAUUAAUCCCUGCAUUUUGUAACAAUUUCACCCGCGCUCCUUUGUUCAUCUUAUCCAGCGGCAGAAAAGGUGGAAGGGGGGAGGCUGCUCUCGUCGAUGAGCUCGGCGGCGCGGAAGGUGCCCGCCCCUCUCCUCCGCCUCCGGCAUCGCCAGCCCCCUGUAGGUGCGUCUCCAUUCCCAAGAACCUGAGCUCCCCCGUGCUCGUCGGCGCAAGGUGGGUGGAGCAGCUCGGCGCCAUGACCUCCACCAUGGCUCCGUCGACGCGCUCCACUGCCUGCUCGCCGGCGCCGACCUCUGCUUGCCCCUGCACAUGGAUGCCGCGAAGCGCUGCUGGGCGUUGCAGCCCUUGCGCAAGCGCACGGAUGUGGUCGAGGCAGGGGGUCGAGCAGGCAGCGGACAGAGGCGGCUUCAGCAGACGGACUUGGCGAGGCGGCGGAGGCGCAGGGAGUCCCGGCGGAACCGGAUCCGACGAGGAUGGACGCCGGUGACGUGGGCGAGGAGGAGGAGGGCUCCGGCGGCGGAGAACCUCCAGGCGGCGGCUGCUUGCAGUUUGGCGUCGGCCUCCUGUAGGUAACAGAGAAAGAGUGAGUUGGUGUGAGAGAGAGAGACAAGAAGAAGAGCCAGGGGAGGAAGGAGAAAGGGAGAAGGAAGAGAGGCAGGGCGGCCUGGAGGAGCUGUUGUUGCUGCGCAAGGACGAGGAGGAGGCACGCGGGUCGGAGACGACGCGCGGGCAGGGGAGCUCCUACAUGGACGCCGUCGAGCUCGCGACAAGGAGCAAUGACAAGCAGCAGCAGCGGUGGCAAGCAGAGGCAGCGGGCAACAGCAGCAGAGGGCAGAAGCGGGAGGCAGCAGCGGCAACGGGCAGCAGAAGCAGAGGGCUGCUGCCACAACAGAGGUAUGUAUCCCCUUGAAAGCAGCAAGCAUCACUGCAUCAGCCUUCUGUUCUUUGUGUUCUCUGUAUAGAUGUGUAGUACUCCCUGAUCAACAGAGGGAGCAGUAACCAAGAAGCAGCAGGCUGCUGCUCUCCUCCCUGAUCCCCUGUAUAUGAAAUAGCAGUAGCGCAUGAGUGAAUGAAGCAAUCAAUUUCUGAAUUACAGACAGCAUACAGAUUUUCUGAAUCCAAACAAAAUGAAGCAUAUACCGUAGGUUGUUCUAUUGUUGAUCCAACCACAUGCUCUGUUUCUGCAUGCCAUGGAAGCUUUAUUUUCAAAUCCCCUUUUUCUGCACGACAAUUGAAAAGAGUGCAGGAGUCGGAGAAUGAACAAAAUUGCUUUGAACUUCACAGCAGCAGACUAAAUUCCUAAAGGCAAAUUUUUUUUAGUACUACAGGAUAUACCUUCAGAGUUUAUGACAGUUCUAAUAAAUAUAUGAUGUUGAUUGGUUAGCUGAGUUAGAAGUAGAGCUAUUCAAAUAUAUUUACUCUGACAAGUGCAAAAAAUCCUUAUACUCCUAGCUAUAUGUUUAUCCUAUAUCUACUUCUCACAUUAUACAUAUGCUCCACUACAAAGGGGUCUAAAUAAUAACAUGAUUUUUUUCAGUUAAAGUUCCAAGCAACUUUCCUGUGUGAAUCUGAGAAUCUCACUAAAACCUGUGUUUCAUUGUGUAUAUUCAGCCUAUCGAUUCGAGUUUCAGACUGAUCAUAAACAUACCUCAGUUUAAGAUGUGAUGCUGAUUUGAUUUGUGUAUUGUCCAUAUCUUCGAUUUCAACCAGUUCCAUGGCAAAUCAAAUACAUUUUUCUUUGUUUAUGACAAUACAUAUUUGACAGGUUAAAGCAUGUACUAUUGUGUAUACUGAAGUGUAACAAGCCUUUCCCAGUAGUAAAACUGAAAGUAUAUAUAGCUUAUGUGUACUGUACUUUCGGUAAUAUAGAUGCCAAUAUCAUUACUUUUUUUAGUUAGGGGGUGGUGGUUAUUCACUCACAGUCAGGUUCAAUGCUCAUCAUGUUAUUUCCUUUCCAAAGAUACCUCGGUGUUCUAUGGUUAGAAAUAGAAGAUAGCAUACACGAGGCCAAAUCUUGACAUGAUUCAGUCAUCCACAUAUUCUAGAAACAACAGAUCAGAUUUAAACAACUAUCUUAGGAGUAGCAGACACAUCUACAUCUAUUACCUACUAAUAAAGCAAGAUGCAUUUCUCUAAAUUUCUAAUCCUUUCACCUUCUAAAAUUAUUAAAACCGAUCGAGCUAGCCCACCUCGGCUGCAAGCAAAGAUUGUUCUACAAUAGUCCCGCCUCGGUUUCUUACACACAAUUUCUCCAAUUCAUAUAUGUCUUUGAUUUUCUCGGUAUUAAGGAGCUAACUUGAAAAUCAAUGAGCCCAGGUUAAGGACCGACGUGACAGAGAAAUAAAGGAAGAAAAUUGCUUUGAGGACAACUGCAUCUCAAACGACAUGAGACGUGACAAAGAAGUAAAAGGGAAGGAAAGAACUAGGAGAAAGACCCUCGAUUAUUUAUAGGGACUCGAAUUGGAACACACAUCAAACGCGUCAACCAAAUCCCUGGACAAAAAGAGGCGGCAACUUAAAAUCACUCUCCGGGCCACUAACCACCAUGGAUCUAUGGAUCGGGAGCGGUGCUUCAUAUUGUGAUGUGCCACCUCAGUGCCGCCGGGCAUGGGCCAUUGCUCCCAGCGAUGGUGGAGGCUCCCUCCGCCCGACAAAGUGUGGAUCUGCAGGGAGGUGGAAGCUGCACCGGGGAGUUACUCUCCGGGCCACUAACCACCAUGGAUCUAUGGAUCGGGAGCGGUGCUUCAUAUUGUGAUGUGCCACCUCAGUGCCGCCGGGCAUGGGCCAUUGCUCCCAGCGAUGCUGGAGGCUCCCUCCGCCCGACAAAGUGUGGAUCUGCAGGGAGGUGGAAGCUGCACCGGGGAGAAAGGUCAGAUACGAGAGAAGAGAGAUGGGAGAAUAAGGAGAGGAGGCGGAGGUCGGCAGGCGACUUGGGAGACGGCGGCGGCUCAUCAGUGUCUCUGAUGGUAGCGGGGUCGUGUGGUGUCGAGGUGGCAGAAGAAGCUCGGGCGGGGAUGAGAUCCUCCUAUGGAAUCCUCUCUCCUCAUUAGGGAAAGGAUGUGUGGCCUCAACCACGUGACCAAGAGCUACUGCGUGGAGCCCGUGGCCGCCCACUUACCAAAAGGAGCUUGUGACACAAGGC
rnacentral:rRNA from 1 species